GAUGAACGCUAGCGGCAGGCCUAACACAUGCAAGUCGCGGGGUAACUAGAGUGAUAGCAAUAUUACUUUGGCUAGACCGGCGCACGGGUGCGUAACACGUAUGCAACCUACCUUCUACUGGUGAAUAACUUCGAGACAUCGGCUCUAAUACCCCAUAACAGUGCGAAGAGGCAUCUCUUUGCAAUUAAAGCUCCGGCGGUAUAAGAUGGGCAAGCGUCCGAUUAGCUAGUUGGUGAGGUAACGGCUAACAAAGGCUGCGAUUGGUUGUGGUGCUGAGACGAUGAGCCGCCGCACUGGUACUUAGACAAGGAUCAGACUCCUACAGGUGGCAGCAGUGGGGAAUAUCGCGCAAUGGACGAAAGUCUGGCGCAGCCAUGCCGCGUGCAGGAUGACGGCCCUAUGGGUUGUAACCUGCUUUUGUACAGGAGAAAACCCUUCUACGUGUAGGAGGCUGAAGGUACCGUAAGAAUAAGCACCGGCUAACUCCGUGCCAGCAGCCGCCGUAAAAC
rnacentral:rRNA from 1 species